rnacentral:rRNA from 1 species
GUGGAGUAAACUAGGAGGAAGGUGGGGAGUGACGUCAAAUCAUCAUGCCCCUUAUGACCUGGGCUACAAACGUGAUACAAUGGCUGAAACAAAGGGCAGCGAAGCAGUGAUGUGGAGCGAACCCAAAAAGCAGUCUCAGUUCGGAUUGAAGUCUGCAACUCGACUUCAUGAAGUCGGAAUCGCUAGUAAUCGCGGAUCAGAACGCCGCGGUGAAUACGUUCUCGGGUUU